rnacentral:rRNA from 1 species
AUGGGGCGAACCACAGUUAAUCCUAUUUGGAGUAAGAUAUGGAAAUUAGCAUGUCCGGCAAAAGUUAAAAUAUUCUUAUGGCGAAUGCUACAUGGUACUAUCCCGUGCAGAGUUACGCUAGCUAAUAGACAUAUGAAGGUUUCACCCAUCUGCCCAAUUUGCUCUGAGGGCUUAGAAGAUACAAAACAUAUGUUGUUCCGGUGUACUAAAGCAAAGGAGGUUUGGAAAAGACUGGGACUCGAUGAUAUCAUUGAAAAAGCUUGCGAGAUUGAUCGUGCAGGAGGGGCGGUGCUGGAGUACCUACUACUCCUACCAGAUCAAGAUUUGUGGAUAUUGGGUUGCCACAAUGUGCGUGAGAUGAUUGCUAUCUAAGCAUGGUACCUAUGGUGGGAAAGACGAAAGUUGGUUCACAAUGAGAAAAUACAAAAUGUAACGCAGAUUUCAAUGGGAAUCCUUGCCCUUACCACAAAUUUUGUUAAUGCAUUAUCCCCCCAAGGCGUCUGUGAAGAAGGAGAGCUGGUCUUGCCCUCCAAGAGGUUUUGUUAA